rnacentral:tRNA from 1 species
GGGGAUAUAGCUCAGUUGGUAGAGUGCUUGCCUGGCAGGCAAAAGGCCCCGGGGUUCAAUCCCCAGCAUGACCA